rnacentral:lncRNA from 1 species
UUUUUUUUUUUUGCAAAUGAUUUCCUUUGGAAUGGAGAAGGAAUGAGAUCCUGCUGUACAGGACUGGGAGCUCUAUCUGGUCCCUUGAGAUGGAACAUGCUAAUCUGAGAAAAAAUAACGGGUACAUGUAUAUGUGACUGGGUCACCUUACUGUGCAGUAGAAAAUUGAUAGAACACUGUAAAUCAGCUAUAAUGGAAAAAAAUCAUUAUUAAAAUAAAUAAAAGUUAAAAAAUAAUAAGCAUUUUUGUGUACUAGUGAAUUUAAACAUUUUCCUAUGUUUAUAGGCUGUAUAAAUGCCUUUGCACAUAGCUGUUUUAACCUAAACCAUCAUUUGAUUUUUACUAAUAUUUUCCUAUCAAUUUUAAGGGCUCUUUAUAUUACAUAUAUGUUAUAUGUGUUAAAAAGCUAUUCUCUGUCCAUUUGUCAUGGAUAUUUCCUUCAUAUUGUACAGAAGCUUGCUUUUUUUUUGGGUUUUGGUUUUUUUUUUGUUUUGUUCUGUUUUUUAGGCCUGCACCUGUGGCAUAUGCAAGUUCCAAGGAUAGGGAUCGAAUCAGAGCUGUAACUGCCGGCCUAUGCCACAGCCACAGCCAUGCAGGAUCCAAGCCAUGUCUACAACCUAUACCACAGCUCAUGGCAAUGCCAAAGCCCCAACCCACUGAGUGAAGUCAGGGAACAAACCCACAUCCUCAUGGAUACUAGUCAGAUUUGUUUUCUUUGCCCCACAGCAGGAACUCUCUAGAGAAGCUUUAUAACUGGAUAGUGUAAUGUACAAUUUUUUUCCAUCAAAAAAUAUUUUUAAGCCCAAUCAAUGGGAAUUUAUCUGGACAGUGAAAUCUAUUAUCUGGAGAGUGAAAUAUAUAAUUUUUUUCCAUCAAACAAUAUUUCUGAGGCGUUCCCAUCGUGGCUUAGUGGUUAAUGAACCCAACUGGUAUUCAUGCGGCUGUGGGUUCAAUCCCUGGCCUUUCUCAGUGGGUUAAAGAUCCUGCGUUGCCAUGAGCUGUGGGGUAGGUUGCAGAUGUGGCUCGGAUCCCGCAUUGUUGUAGCUGUGGUGUGGGCUGGCAGCUGUAGCUCAGAUCCGACCCCUAGCCUGGGAACGUUCACAUGGCCGCGGGUGCAGCCCUAAAAAAAAGACAAAAGACCAAAAAAAUUUUUUGAGUCUCAUUGAUGGGAAAGAGAUGCCAGUGCUGGGGUAUCAAUGAUGAGUACAAGACAUCUUAUUUCUUCCUUCCACCAUUAAUGUACUGGAGGCGAAACAUUGUUAAGUAAACUUAAACACACACAAACAUACACAUACAGAAAUAAAUAUGUAGUUAUCCAUUUUGGUAAGUGUGUGAUGGGGUAUGAUUGGUUCAGUUGUUUCCCAAGGAGAUCUGCUGUGUUGGUGGGCAAGAAAUGUGUGAGUUAUAAUCUGAGGUUGACCUGGUGUCCCUUGGAUGUGGAGGGCGGGAGCACUGAGGCUUGGAGUUUGGGAAGAGGUUGGUGGCAGUUGUGGAUGGGGCCAGGCAGCUUCCUUUCUGUCUUUUGUAUUUAGAUUCAUGCUAACAACAUCUGCCAGCAUCCCAGUGUUCUAUCGAUACUUAAGACAAUAUACUCCAUUGAUUUCUUUUCUCUUGAAAUUACAUCUUUCACCUAAAUGCAAUUAAUUUGGUGUCGUGCGUGAGGUAGGGAUUGAGGUACCUAAUGGUUGUGUGUGCUCAUUUUGAUGUUUUCCCACCAAAUGGCUCACCUGCCCUGGGGACAUUAAAAGACAGUGCCCUCAUAUUAUUACAUUCUGAUAAAUAUUUGGGUCUCAAAUGCCUCUAAAAUGUCAGGAACAACAGAAUGGACUUACAAGUAAUUUAAUCACGAAAAAGAAGAGGUCUAUAAUACAAUAAUACCUGGGUUUUCAUAGAUGGCAUAUGGUCAUCUUGAACCUACGACUAGAAUAGACAUGAAAUAUUUGUAUGAUGACCUUCUUUUAGAAUCUCAGGGGAAAGAGUCUGCCUCCAUCAAAGUGACACAUUACUGGAGGUCCUUUUGGCUGAGCUCCAUCUGUAUGUUCCUUUUUCAAUGCAUGGAAUGGUUAAUAUUUCCCUUUUCUACAAUAUCCAUGGAUGUAUCCAUCUCAAGAAAUGAACACCUUGCAUCCUUGAGAUAGGCCAAUUUUUCACACACAGCACACAAAAAGCACAGACCUUAGAGACUGGAAAAUUUAUGGACUCAAAACAAACACUCUCUAUUCAACAGGGGUCACUCAUACGUUAGUGAAAAGGAAAGCAGUACACAGGAGUGGGUAUUUGCAACACACAGAGCUGGGAAAGAGCUCAAUAUAGCAGAAGAGACAAUCCAUCAGACUGCUUCCCAUCCAUCACAAAAAAUGUAAAAAGAUAGGUAACCAUAUAAAAAUGCAAGGAAGACACUUUAAUAGGUACUUUACAAAAGAGAAUCUCUAAAUUUUUAGGAAAUAGGAAGAGUUACCUGAACUUAUCAACCAGACAACUGCAAAUUCAAAGCACAAAGUAUAUGCCCACAUACCUUGCACAAAAAUAAGCUUAAAAUGGCUUAUAGACUUAAAUAUAAGACAUGACACCCUCAAACUCCUAGAAGAGAACACAGGGAAAACAUUCUCUGACAUAAGUUGUAUCAAUAUUUUCUUAGGUCAGUCUUCCAAGGCAACAGAAGUAAAAGCAAAAAUAAGCAAAUGGGACCUAAUUAAACCUGUAAGCUUUUGCACAGCAAAGGGAAUCAUAAAUAAAAUGAGAAAAAAACCUACGGACUGGGAGAAAAUAUUUGCAAAUGAUGUGACUGACAAGGGCUCAGUUUCUAAAAUACACAAACAUUUCAUACAACUCAUUACCAAAAACAAACAAACAAACAAAAAUCACCCAGUUUGAAAAAUAGGCUUAAGACCUAAACAGACAAUUCUCCAAAGAAAAUACUGUAUACCUGUGGUACAUGUAUACAAUGAAAUAUUACUCAGCCAUAAAAAAGAAUUAAAUAAUGUCAUUUGCAGCAAACUGGAUGAAACCAGAAACCCUCAUACUAAAUGAAGUAAGUCAGAAAGAGAAAGAAAAAUACCAUAUGAUAUCACUUAUAGGUAGGAUCUAAAAUAGGGCACAAAUGAACCUAUCUACAAAACAGAAACAGACCUCACAGACAUAGAAACAGACUUGUGGUUGCCAAAGGGGAGGAGGGGAGUGGGAUGGAUUGGGAGUUUGGGUUUAGCAGUUCCAACUAUUACAUACAGGAUUUAUAAACAACAAGGUCCUACUGCAGAGCACAGUGAACUAUAUUUAAUAUCCUGUGGUAAACCAUCAUGGAAAAAGACACAGAAAAAAAAUGUGUGUGUAUAUAACUGAGUCACUCUGCUGUACACAAGGAACAAGGACAGCACUUUAAAUCAAGUAUGCUUUAAUAAAAUAUUUUUUUUCUUUUUAGGGCUGCACCUGUGGCAUAAGCAAGUUCCCAGGCUAGGGGUCAAAUCUGAGCUUCAGGUGCCAGCUCACACCACAGCCACAGGAACACUGGAUCCUUAACCUCCUGAGUGAGGCCAGGGACAAAACCCACAUCCCCAUGGAUACUCGUCAGGUUCUUACCCCUCUUAGCCACAACAGGAACUCCCUAAAAAUAAAAUUUUUAAAAAGGCACAAAGUGAUACCAUUACAUACUUACCUGAAUUUCUAAAUUUACAGAAACUUAAAAUACUGAGCCUUGCAAGGAUAUGAAAUGGUUCUACCUAAUGGAACUUUUUCUUUUUUUUUUGUAUUUUUGCCAUUUCUUCGGCCGCUCCCACGGCAUAUGGGAGGUUCCCAGGCUAGGGGUCGAAUUGGAGCUGUAGCCACCAGCCUAUGCCAGAGCCACAGCAACGCAGGAUCCAAGCCGUGUCUGUGACCUACACCACAGUUCACGGCAAUGCCGAAUCCUUAACCCACUGAGCAAGGGCAGGGAUCAAACCCACAACCUCAUGGUUCCUAGUCGGAUUCGUUAACCACUGCGCCAUGACGGGAACUCCCACUAAUGGGAGUAAUGUUAAGUUUCUCCUCUAUGCUAUCGAGUGUGGUAGUAACAUGCUGCCAGUGUGUACUUGAAAUGUGGCUACUCAGACUGAAGAACUCAAUUUGUUUUGUCUUUUUGGGGCUGCACCCACAGCAUAUGGAAGCUCCCAGGCUAUGGGUCAAAUCGGAGCUGUAGCUGCUGGCCCACACCAGAGCCACAGCAACGUGGGAUCUGAGCCCUGUCUGUGACCUACACCACAGCUCAUGGCAAUGCCAGAUCCUUUAACCCACUGAGCAAGGUCAGGGAUAGAACCCACAUCAUCAUGGUUACUAGCCAGAUUCAUUACUGCUGAGCCACCAUGGGAACUCCAGAAGAACUCAAUUUAAAAUUUUAUCUUUAGUCAUUAAAUUGAAGUGAUGAUGUGUGACUGUGGCCACCACGUGGGAUAGCACAGAUAUAGACUAUUACGGGAAUGCUGGGGGAGAGUGUAAAUACCAGCUCUUUGAAACAUGUAUGUACAGAUGGACAUAGAUAUCCGUGAAAACUCACCCAUUUCACUUUUAGGCAUAUAUGCACAAUUGUGUUCACCAGCAUUAUUUAUAAUAGCCCCCAAUGGGAAACACAUCAAACAUCCAUCAAUGAUAGUUUCAACCAAUAAAUGACAGUAUUUGUAUAGCAUAAACCAUCACAUGGUAUUGAAAAUGAACGUACCACCACGAAGCAAACAGUACUGGAGAAUGCCACAAACGUAGCAUUAAGCAUUAGAGGCCAGAUGCAGAAAAAUAUUCUAUGAUUCUAGUUUUAUAAAUAUUACCAAAAAUAAUCUGUGUCAUGACUGGAAGAAGGUGGGGGGAGUUAGUUACAGGGAGAAUUUCUUUGCCAUGGCCAACUUUUUGACCAAGGGAAUACACACCACAGUGUAUUUUUUUGAUCACUGGACCUUUCUAUGAAUGAUGUGUGCACUUUUCAGGACCUGGUUGUAUUUUCAUAUAGGUAGUGACCGCAUAGCCCAGAAUGACACACUAACAAAUACUAGUGACAGGGAAGAUUAUACCAUGAAUGACACAUUAACAAAAUACUAAAGACAUGGGAGAUUAUAGCAUGGUGUCAAGAUGUGAACAAUCAAAAUCUAAAGUUUGCAAAAAAUUUCACGGACCCC